rnacentral:tRNA from 2 species
UUCUGAUUAAAUUGGUGGUUCGGCUGUUAACCGAAAUGUUGGAGGUUCGAAUCCUCCCCGGGGAGCCA